rnacentral:lncRNA from 1 species
GCAUGGCAAGGCAGAGACCGAAAAGGUUCCUGGCCCUGGUCUUCUGGUGUGGGGCUCUCUCCGUUGCUGUGGCAGGCUUGGCUAUAGCACUCUUGACUAUGGGAAUGAGCCGGCAUGAAGAAACUGACGGGACGAUCAACGCAAAAAGUAUCCAACUGUUGGCCUCCUCUACAAAGCCAAAGACAACUUCACCUUCACCCAGAGACAACUUUAACUUCAUCCACUUGACCAUGGGUGAAGGGAAAAAAUGGGAGAUCUCCGAAAGUUGUCUGGAAUCGUCACUCCGUCUGGAGAAUCAGGGCAUCUACAUUGAUGUGACGGGCCUGUACCUUUUUUACGCCCAGGUCACCCUGUCUGAUGGGAGCAUCAGUUUCAUUCAGGAUGGGGCAGCUGAUGAGUCCACAAGUGAAAGGACUCUCAGUGAAGCGUCAACUUUAAAUGCCACAACUGAACAGAGGUUGUCCAUGACUGGUAUAUAUUAUCUCAAACAUGGGGAUACAGUGAGGUUAAAUCUAAAAUUUUCUAAACUCAGGGAAAAUGCUACCAAAAGCUACUGGGGCCUUUUUUUGCUCAGAGAAAUACACUGAGGACCUUUUUUCUGCCUAAACAUCACCGGAUUGUUCUCAAUAUUAUCUGUUUAUGGCACCUAUAUUUAAAGUUACAUCACAUAACUUUUAGGAUGAAAAUACAUCGAUCUACUUUGUUAUUGGCACAAAAGAUAAAAACUGUUAAUAGCAGGCGUUUUUAUAUCGUGAGACAUGUGAAUGUAUUUUGUGUUUUAUUUAAAUGAUUAAGUUUAAUAUAUUUUGAACAUGUAAUAUCUAAAAUACUAUUUGUAUUUUUGUAUUUGUGAUUGUCUAUUUGUGUGGCAAGUUUUGUUAUGCAUUUUUUAUUUCAGCAAAUGCUGAUUUUGUUAAAAUAAACUAUUAAAACUAAA